rnacentral:rRNA from 1 species
AUUGAACGCUGGCGGCAGGCCUAACACAUGCAAGUCGAGCGAGCGGCGGACGGGUGAGUAAUGUAUGGGGACUGCCCGAUAGAGGGGGAUAACUACUGGAAACGGUGGCUAAUACCGCAUACUAUCGGAUAACCCAUAUGGGAUUAGCUAGUAGGUGGGGUAAAGGCUAACUUAGGCGACGGUCUAUAGCUGGUCUGGGAGGAGGAUCAGCCACACGUGGACUGAGCAACGGCCAAGACUCCUACGGAGGCAACAGUGGGGAAUAUUGCACAUUGGGCGCACGCCUGAUGAAGCCAUGCCGCGUGUAUGAAGAAGGCCUUAGGGUUGUAAAGUACUUUCAGCGGGGAGGCGAUACCCGAAGAAGAAGCACCGGCUAACUCCGUGCCAGGAGCCGCGGUAAUAC